UACGUAGGUGACCAGCGUUGUCCGGAUUUACUGGGCGUAAAGAGCGCGCAGGCGGUCGUUCAAGUCGAGUGUGAAAGCCCCCGGCUCAACUGGGGAGGGUCAUUCGAUACUGAUCGACUGGAAGGCAGGAGAGGGAAGCGGAAUUCCCGGUGUAGUGGUGAAAUGCGUAGAUAUCGGGAGGAACACCAGUGGCGAAGGCGGCUUCUUGGCCUGUUCUUGACGCUGAGGCGCGAAAGCUAGGGGAGCAAACGGG
rnacentral:rRNA from 1 species